rfam:Picea glauca, whole genome shotgun sequence.
AUGUAAUGUAAUUCCUACAAUGUUAAUGCAACGGAUCCCAUUAGAACUCUACAAUUAAGCGUGCUUGGGAUAUAGUAGUACCGGGAUGGGUGACCUCUUGGGAAGUCCUAGUGUUUUACAUG